rnacentral:lncRNA from 1 species
AACAAUUGAAAAGCGUAUCAAAAUUGGAGAGCGGCAAAACUCCCGGUCUCAAUUCACACACCUCACAUUUCAGUCUCCACACACUCAGCUCACUCACCUCUUUUACACUCACCUCUCUUCUCAAACUCCCCUCACUCACCUCUCCGGCACUUUUGACGACAACUGAAUCGGGGUCUCUCUCAAUGGAUUUCACCUUUAUUAGGGCUUUUUUGUUUCGGAUCUUCAGUUGUGGGCUUCGAUUUAAAGCUUCUUAAUUCAUUCACUGAAAUUAGGGCUUGAGAUUUAUAGUUUCUUACAAUUUAUUUAAGAGAUUCGAAUUAUGAGUUUCACUUUAACGUUGUUAAUUUAGUGUCUCUGUUUGUUUCAAGGCUUCAAUCAGAUUGGGCUCCAAUCCAAUCAGGACUUCCAUCAAAUUAGGGCUUUUCACUUUAAUGGGGGCUUCAAAUUGCUUGGAUUGUGAUUUAAGAUACACUCCUCUCUCAUAUAUUUGCUUGUAAGUAUGUAUCUUUGUUCUCUAAAAUCUAUGUUUGAUUUUAAAUAUAUGUGAUUCUGUGUAUAUGAGUUUUGGUUUGUUCUAUGUUGUCUUUGUCUAUCUCUCUCAUUCUCUUCCCCUCCCUCUCCUACUCUGUCUCCCCCUCUCUCUUACACACACAUUUAAUUUACUAUUUUACUUGCUAAUAUACACACACACACUCUACUACUCUGUUUCUCUUGUACAGAUUCUAUUAUGUGUAUUAUGUAUAUUUGUUAUUUUUAUUAUAUUGAUACUAAAAUAAUCUCAAGUGCUUGACAAGCUUGAUCGAUAAUAUGAGCUCUGCCAGACCUCAGUUUCCUACCAAAGAGUACAUGAAAACACAGGUAGAUAUCCAAACUUUUGCACCUAAUUAUAUAUCGUGAGUGAUUUACUGACUUUUUGUUUCUAUAGAUCAAACUAUCUGACCCUAUACACUAAUACACCAGUUAUCACUGGAGAAAUCGGUGCGCGAAAAUCUUCAAACCCGUGCUUCCCUUCACGGGGAGUCAUUUAAUUUCUCCAUUGGUAAAAUGCAUCCUGCAACUUUUGCUCAUCAUAUUUACUAUCUUUCAGGAAAGACUUUAUGUUAUUCUAAAAUAGGGAGAACAGUCAAACAACUGUUAUUGGUUGUCCUGGCGAACCAAUCUAGACAGGUGAGGUUUCUUGUCAUAUAGCCUUCAUCCACUGUUAACUUGAUAAGGUUUUAGUUGUCAAGUUUGAGUUAUAAUAUUACAUCUAAGAAAACCUUACUCAAGCAGGACUUUUCUAUGCUGAUUAUAAACCCUGAAAAACAAAAGAUGUAAUAUACAAGCUAAUGACUCCCCUGGCUUUGUAGAUUUGAGUAUAGGAACCUCGUAGGUUAACUUCUAUUUUGUACAUGUGAAGAAAAUGGUUUUUUAAAUCAGCGUGAUGUGUAGUUUAGUGACCUUAGAAUAGUUUAAUAUAUUUAGGUCUCAUAUAUUAAUUCAGUUGGCUUGGCAUCUGUCAGAAACAUUAAGAUGGGUUUGGCUAAGAAUUUGGUUAUUAGAAUGAAUGAGCAUAUAUUUAUAUACUAGAACUCCGUAUUCUGUCUGAAAUCAAAGUGCUUCCAGUUGGCCAUAUUACUCCCCCUACAAUAAUAAAACUGUAGCCUGUCAAUAUUAUUGAAUCUUUAUAUAUGUGAACUAAUGAACUAAAAAAUAGAGAUUAGUGGUAAAGAAUAGAGAUUAGUGGUAAUGGGAUAUGCUUUCUUCUGGCACUUAAGCAUCAUUGUAGAAAAUACUUAUCAUUCAUAAAAGGGUCAAAGUGUGAUUAUAUGAUAUAAACUUUAUUCAGUUCUGUGUAGAUAGCUUUCUCACAAAUUUUGGUGUAGGGGUAUAUAUACUAUAUUCUAUAUACUCUGAAGUUUAUAUGUUUAACUUUAUCGAACUGAGCUUAACUUUAUAUGUUUGUACUAGGCUACAACACCAAAUUUGGAACAGAAGCUUGAAAAAUUAGCUCCUGCAGAUGCUGUUGCUGGUUUGAUUGCUCCCUAUUUUGUGGAAAGGUUAGAGUCUACUUUUAAAUAUAAUAAAAUCAUUUACAGGGAUAUACACAAUCUUUAGGAAAGUGUAAUAAUUUUCCAGUUUGAAGCUUUCGGCCUGCGGUUUGAUAGAGAGCUGUUUGCUUUCAAAUUACUCCUUUUAAAAUGACACAUGGAGUGAUGUUUUAAUUGUACUAGAAGUGUAUCAAGGUAGCUUCUUGUGUUGUGUCUUGGUGUCCUUUUUGUAAUUGAUGAAUAGCUAAGAGGACACCAUUGUGAUUAAAUACCAAUAAAAAUGGACUAAUCUGUCUACCACUAUACAGGUUUGUAGGAUUACAUCAGUUGAAUUUAAUGGAAUAAAAGAUUUCCCCAAAAUAUGAAAUUUGUCAGAACUUAAAAUGAUGGAAGAGGAAUAGUAGUUUCAUGUGAGACAUGCAAAUCAAGUCAUAGAUCUAUUUAACUAGCUACAACUAUUACAAUUAUAUUAUAGUAUAGUGAUUUGGUUUGAUUUGAACCUCUGCAGUUAGUUAAUAGAAGUGUUUCAGCCUAUAUACCAAUAUUAAUGAUGGACAAAGUUUUUACCCUGUUUAGUUAAUUUCAUUAUCUACUGCAAAUUUAUUGUGUUAUCUGUUUACUGUCCAACUAAAUCCACAUAAUUUGAGUUGUUCAAAAUAAGCAUGGCUUAUUUACCGGAACUCAGCUUAGUAGUUGCAUUGUAUUGUUUCAGGGAAAGCCUAAGCCGUUAAUGGAUCAACCUAACAGAGUCAAAGACUUGACUGUUCCAGAAUUUGGAACUCUCCAAGCUUGGGAAGUGCGAGCAAAAUGCAAGAAUAUGUUUAUUUAUAUAAUAGUGUAGUGUACUGUGAUGUUUGGUUGGAUUUGUUUAAUACUUUGAUUUGGUUGGAUUUGUUAGGUAGUUUGGUUUGGUUGGAUUUGUUAUAAACUUUGAUUUGUAUGAAAGAAUAGUUUAAUGUUGCAGUUGAUAUAGUAAAAUAUUGCAAAAUUGUUAUUUGAUGUUGC